CAAAGAAUCAAUUUACAUUGUAAUCAUAAAGAAGACAAGAGUGAUUAAUCUCAAAGUGACAUAGCAGACUCUAGAAAAAUGACAUCGAGCAAACACAAUUCAUAAUACAAGAAGUACGAAUAAAUUAACAAACAUAAAUCAAACACGAAAGUUCUUAAUACCAGCAAUAAUCCUAAAUUUAAUCAAGCAAUGAACUUGUCACCGUUGUCGUCGUCAUCGUCGAACAAGAACAAAAACUCUCAAGUCGCGACUCUGUUCAGUUUGUUCAGUGAAACUUCUUUUUGUUCUUGUUGGUUUGUGAGUUUUGCGUGUGUAUUCACACGCGAAAUAUAAAAGAUACACAAAGAAUGUAAGACAAUUCAGCCGCCCACAAAACGAUGACGAUGACGGUGGUGGUUGUGGGGCUCGCAUCGAGUCGACUACUGCUUCCGGCAUCCACAUCACACCGGAAGAAUAAACAGGGUGUUUAUUGAAUUAAAAAGACAUUUUUCAGUCUUUUUCUUUUACAUUUUUAAAUCAUGUAGUCAAUUUUAA